rnacentral:rRNA from 1 species
UACGUAGGGUGCAAGCGUUAAUCGGAAUUACUGGGCGUAAAGCGUGCGCAGGCGGUUACGCAAGACAGAUGUGAAAUCCCCGGGCUCAACCUGGGAACUGCAUUUGUGACUGCAUGGCUAGAGUACGGUAGAGGGGGAUGGAAUUCCGCGUGUAGCAGUGAAAUGCGUAGAUAUGCGGAGGAACACCGGUGGCGAAGGCAAUCCCCUGGACCUGUACUGACGCUCAUGCACGAAAGCGUGGGGAGCAAACAGG